rnacentral:lncRNA from 1 species
GAUGGUAAGAAAGUAAUGUGUGCUCUUUAAUUUCUUCCAUCCUUCUACCAACAGAAGCAACAACUCACUAAGGGAUUCCUUGGAAGGCAGCAAGUCAAGUGGAACCCUCAGCAGGGAGCCGGUCACGUUACAUGUUGCCCUGGAAGAUCCAUCCAACUGCUUCACAUACCCUUCUACAGCAAGCCCACCUGUGAAAAAUUCAGCUUCUCGAUCAUUUGCUUCCCCUAAAAAGUCUCCAGUACAUUCGCUGCUCACAAGUUCAGCUGAAGAGUCAGUGGAUUCCACACCACAGUACAGAUCCACCAAAACUGUCCCCUCACCUGAUUCUGUUAAAGCAAUGUCUUCCAUGAUCAGAAAUCAAGAAAAGCGGAUACAGAAAGUGAAGGACCAGGAAAAAAUGCUACUAAAAUGACACCUGACUCGCCUGUCUUUUCAGAAGGAUGAUGCCCCAUCCAUUGUGAUGUUACUUAUAAUUAGUGCCCUGUGUACUUUUUUCUUUUUAUGUGAAAAUUUAAUAAAAGGUACUCUGUCCCGUAAACUCUGUUUUGAGAAUUUUGAAAUAAACUAUCCUUAAUGCUCUCCUG